UACGUAGGGAGCAAGCGUUGUCCGGAAUCAUUGGGCGUAAAGCGCGCGUAGGCGGCCCUGUAAGUCCGUUGUGAAAGUCAAAGGCUCAACCUUUGAAAGCCGAUGGAUACUGCAGGGCUAGAGUCCGGAAGAGGCGAGUGGAAUUCCUGGUGUAGCGGUGGAAUGCGCAGAUAUCAGGAGGAACACCAAUAGCGAAGGCAGCUCGCUGGGACGGUACUGACGCUGAUGCACGAAAGCUAGGGGAGCAAACAGG
rnacentral:rRNA from 1 species